UUUUUUAUUAGAGACACAUAUGUCAUACGGUUAUUUUGAUUUGCUAAAUGUAUGUUUACAUUCUCAGUUAGCUUCAGGCCUCACUGAGGCGAAGUAUUGAGGUAGAAAGCUGGUGAAGCCAUUUCCUGCUGUCAUUAUAUUCUGUUUGCACAGAUAAUAAACCUGGUUGACAAGAAGGACGUCGUUUUCAUUCGACACAACGCAGAGAUACAUGUGGCGUCAAUCCAGACCGGUUACACAAAGAAUGAUAAAUAGAGAAAACAGAUAUAAUUUGCUUAUUAUCUGAUUACCAGCUCUGCACAGCGGACUUGUAACACUAGCAGCAGUGGAGAUGGAGCAUCAGAACCUGGAGGCUUCUACUCUCCUGAAGAAGAAGAAUACAGCAACAAGGAUCCAUUUGAAGAUAGGUAAAUAUUUCACAGCUGCCUGGGCCUAGCAGCAAGAACCUCCAUCUGUCCCUGCCCCCAGGUCAAGAUCUACCGUGGCUCAAGGGCCUUCACCGCAAAGGACCAGAGGACCAUCAUCACUACAGUGGCCUCCAUCUCCAUCUGCCACAAGAUUAAGAUACACCUCGGGACAAAGGCCUCCACCACAGCCAUCACGAUCAACCCAGCCAGCAAAGAAGUCUCGCCUAGCACCGCCUCGGUGAGACUCCAGAAAGCAUGGAGCAAGAGACAAUUUCCCUUUUGUCUGAACAACAGAAAAGAAACAACCGGCAAUCAAUAAAAGAAAAGAUGGCGAAGGCGUUUGGAUACUGAAGACAAGAAAUAGUGCAUCGGAGGCCAAGCAUUGAAGGCUUCUUGGAGCGGUGGCCUGCACUUUUUCACAUGGAAGAGGUAAAUGCUGAGUUAAUGCGCAUAACAACAAUUCCAUUGGAGACAAAGUUCUUGGCGCAGUUGGACAAACACUCAGGUCAUCAGGAGCAGGGGAGGAGUUGUGAAACAGAAGACCACCGGGAUCUUGCAGGUUUUGGAUGAGACUGUGGACAUCGCCAUCAGAAGAGAAUGCAUCCUCAAAUCUCUAAUGAUCUACCUGGGUGAACCUGUUGACCAUCUCAUCAAAGAAUUCCAGGACGCUGAGGCUGGAGAACUGGAGCAGGCAACAAUGGAAGCCUUUGACACUGGGAAAGAGGAUCAGCUUCAUCGACCCAAAGACGUCAAGGUUCUCAUCGAAGGAACAGAGGUCCUCAGCGGCUUGCCCUCGGUUGCGACAGCUUUUGCCAUGCUCUUCGGGCUCAUAUACGCACUGAAAUGGGGCGAAGCCUGCGAGCUAGUUCAGGCAGUCAACUCGAGCACUUAUGCUGCAUUCAUACAUAACGCCCCCUUGCCACUCUACAACCAACCAAACAGAGUCUCCUUAAUAUGCCGCUCUAUUUAACCUGCCAGAUCUCUCUCCAUGCAUUGCUUGCUGC